rnacentral:rRNA from 1 species
GAUGAACGCUGGCGGCGUGCCUAAUACAUGCAAGUCGAGCGAACAGAUGAGGAGCUUGCUCCUCUGACGUUAGCGGCGGACGGGUGAGUAACACGUGGAUAACCUACCUAUAAGACUGGGAUAACUUCGGGAAACCGGAGCUAAUACCGGAUAAUAUAUUGAACCGCAUGGUUCAAUAGUGAAAGACGGUUUUGCUGUCACUUAUAGAUGGAUCCGCGCCGCAUUAGCUAGUUGGUAAGGUAACGGCUUACCAAGGCAACGAUGCGUAGCCGACCUGAGAGGGGGAUCGGCCACACGGGAACUGAGACACGGUCCAGACUCCUACGGGAGGAAGAAGUGGGGAAUCUUCCGCAAUGGGCGAAAGCCUGACGGAGAAACGCCGCGUGAGUGAUGAAGGUCUUGGGAUCGUAAACUCUGUUAUUAGGGAAGAACAAAUGUGUAAGUAACUAUGCACGUCUUGACGGUACCUAAUCAGAAAGCCACGGCUAACUACGUG